rnacentral:tRNA from 1 species
GGAUGCAUAGCUCAGCUGGUUAGAGCGUUCGAUUCACAUUCGAAAGGUCCCAGGUUCGAAUCCUGGUGCGUCCA